CACUGCAAAGGAGGUCAAGGAGAUUCUGGGGGCAACCUGCGAGCAACCUCUAGACCAGCCAGCAGGGACCUCUGACAAUGCCGCUGCCGGUGUCGACGCUGGCAGCCAUGGCCGGCGCCGAGCUGACGAGUUCCAACCUGGAAGCUCAGCGCGAGGGGCUGGCAUUUGUUGCCGGCUUCGUGGCAUACAAGUGUCACCACAUCGACGCCACCCUCGGUAGCCGGUCUCCUGACUUCUCGGGCGCCGCUGGAGACACUGAACACCCUGCCGAACAGCUGAAUUGUGACGAUCAGCCGAGGCCAGCUGUUUGUUCUGUCACAAGCCUGGAUGGCCGCUGUGGAGGAGUUCGAGCGGAACUUCUGCCUGCUGAUGGGGGCAACUGCAGAUCAGGGGCCGCGAGUCAUAUAGCGUCUCAAGCUGUUCAUCGCCGUCAAGCAGCCUCAGCUCGGCACCCGCGUGUCCAGGAAGUUGGCGAGCACCCGUCUCCACCUCCCCCUUCGGUCCCUUAGCCUGACUGGACGAGGUCCGGCAGCUGAAAAGAGCCGAUAGAAAAGUUGGCCAUCAUGCAAGGAGCUCUAGGUGAGCUGGUAAACCGGCUCGUGUAGCGACUACGAGUCGGCGUGGUGCUGUGUGACUCGGUGUGGUGCGGCCGGCUCUGUGUUGGUGCUGUGCGACUCGGCAUGGUGCCUCCGGCUGUGUGUACCGGCUGUGCGACUCGGUGUGGUACGGCCGGCUUUGUGUGGGUGCUGCGCGACUCGGCAAUUGGUGCCUCCGGCUGUGUGUAACGGCUGUGCGACUCGGUGUGGUACGGCCAGAUCUGUUGGUGCUGUGCAACUCGGCGUGGUGCCUCCGGCUGUGUGUAACGGCUGUGCGACUCGGUGUGGCACGGCCAGAUCUGUUGGUGCUGUGCAACUCGGCGUGGUGCCUCCGGCUGUGUGUAACGGCUGUGCGACUCGGUGUGGCACGGCCAGAUCUGUUGGUGCUGUGUGACUCGGCAUGGUGC